rnacentral:lncRNA from 1 species
UUUUUUUUUUGUGUAUGUGACUAAGGCCAGUCUUAAUGUAUUGGAAAGUGGGUGAUGAAACCUCAACUGAGGAUGGGGGACGAGGAAAUACAUUUAUGGAGGAUGUUGAGAUAGUAGGCUUUGCUGGGCUGACAAAGAUACUUGUUCGUUUGGCUGUCAGAAGUGUUGGCUGAUUUGUUGUGGAGAAAAAACACUGCUGAAUGGUUGGCAAAUUUUGCUGUCAAGCAAACAGUCAUCUAUACCAUAUUGUUUUAUAUCUAUUUUUUCUAAUACACAUGGAUUUAUAUACAUUCUCUAUGUAUAAUUCUUUGAUGAAAAUAAUGGAUAUUUAAUUGAAUUUCUUUUCUUCACCUAUGUUAACGUGCACAGUUGGCCACACGCGCCGUCCCGCCGCUCUCGGUUCCUUCGAUUUGUCAUCUGGAAAAGCAGUUCGGUGCUUUAUUUCGAUUUUCGGUCCAUGAAGGAACAACGGCACAGGGCGCAAGGCUAUUUUUUUUUCUCCGUUCUAAAAAUGAAUACAUAUCUCGCAUUUUGAAAAAUUAGCUGAUCGCAGAUGAUCAAGUAUAUACUAACUUUUUUAAUGCUUAUAAUACUAAAUAGAUAUUAUUAAAUUAAUCACUAACAUAUAUUUUUAUAGUACAUCUAUUUAGAGAUACAUAAAUAUCUAUUUCAUUUCUAUAAAGCUAGUUAAAAUGGAAAUUAAGUGACUUUUAGAAGUACAAGAUGUGUGUAUUUUUUAGGAUAGAGAGUAAGAUGACGGUGGUUGUGAGCCUAGCUGUUAUACGAGGAGGGGGCAAUUCUAGCGCUCAAAACACACAAAAACAUCUCCAGUCUACGUCGCCUAGCCCCUGCUCCCUCCGUACUGCAGCUGUCCCAGAGGCAUUAGCCUUCUGCCUUCAGUCCUGCCGGCCAAACUCAGGCCUUGUUUAGUUCACUCUGAAAACCAAAAAAUCUUCAAGAUUCUCCGUCACAUCGAAUCUUGCGUCACAUGCAUGAAACAUUAAAUAUAAACGAAAACAAAAACUAAUUACACAAUUUAGGUGUAAAUCACGAGACAAAUCUUUUGGUCCUCUAUGAUUGGAUAAUAUUUGUCACAAACAAACGAAAGUGCUACAGUACCGAAAACUUUUCACUUUUCGGAACUAAACAAGGCCUCAGCCAAGAAUAAAAAAGCAAAAACCUCCAUCGCCACCUGUUGUUGCAUGUACUAGUACUGUACUUUUUAGUUGCAUACUGGAGUACACAGCUAUGUCCUUGAUACAUGUGUCAUCCUCCCAAACGACAUAAUUUAUGGGACAGAGGGAGUAUAUCUCUAUUUAUAUAUGGCUUAUUAUACAGUUAGUGGGAUUUUUUUAAUCUCUUCAUGUAUGUAUCUCCAUACGUGUACACAAACUCAUUUGAUGUACGCACAAACACUAUCCCUAUGAGCAUUUCAAAAGAUAAUAUGUUGACACAUAUAUAUUCAUAUGUGCACUCGUCUCUAUGAAUGUAAGCACAUGCACCCUACCACAGAAAGAAGACUAUGUCGCCUUAUUAUCGAUGAGCACAUCACCUACCACUAAAAGAAUAAUAUCAUUAAAUUCUAGAAUAAUUUAGAAAAAAUACAUGUACCCUUGUAUGUCAAGUCAAAAGACUUGAACCAGAAUGAACAUUGUUCUACCGCAAUUAACUCAGCCAAUUGAGCUAUGCAUGAAUUUGACGAAAGUGACAACCAAAGGAUUAUAGAAUUCGGAGAGUGGCCAAUUCCUUUGAGAGAAGUUCCACACUCCUUAUCGGUGGGAAGAUAAACAUUUCAUCUUUAUUAGCCAUAAUUCUUUAAUUGUAUAAGAAAAUACAAUUAAGGAAAUGUAGUUGUGCAAUUACAUCUCAAAAAGGACUUGUAUUCGAUAGAUGUUCCUGUCUCACUAAGCUGUGUGUGCACGAACUGGCGGCGGUGGCGAUUGGUGGCUGUGUACGAGAGCCACGUAGAAGGCUCGUCGCAAUCGCCCUGUAUACACUUUCUGACGGAUGCAGGCCAUCCCAUGAUCCAUGCGUCUCUGGGUUUUCACAUAAUUUGUAUUCUCCACGUCCACAUCUUACACCCGGGGACACACCAUAGCGUCCUUCUCCACCACAGCAAGCCAUCAAGGGAUAUUCAAUUCCUGAACCUCAGUCAUUGCAAUAUUAAUGACCGUGUAAGCAAGAAAGUAAUUUUUUUAGGCAACAGGUGUAGUUAUCUUAAUUUCUAAUUAAGGUUCUAAACAGCAUCCAUUGAAACCGACUAAUUUGUUAGCCUGGAGCUUAAUGCAGGUGGCAUGAUGCUAAUACUACAGAUAUCAUGUAUAUACUGAACUGCAUCAGAGAUAUAAGAUGAAACUUUUCAGACCAUUGUAUCUUAUAUCCUGAAUGCAAUUGUUACUAUGAAAGGUUGUGAGGUGAAAAAUCUUUAAAGACGAUCAAAAAACGAUUUUAGAGGUAAAAAACUGUGUGUAUGAUAAGUAUCUGUAUCAAGUUCUUUAAAAGUCAAAGAUAUAUGUUUGAACUCACCAUAUCGUUGUGGGUGAACAAAAACCUCCAUAGCGGCUCCAUAGUAAUCAGCAUAGAUGAUGGUCACGCCGGGAUGGAGCUUACGCAACUUCUCCAAUUCCUUGAUGAGAAGCUUGUUGUGGUACCAUGCAAACUCGUUCAACCGUCUAAUGCAGCCUGUCCCUAGAUCGUAAUCUUCUUUACUCUGGAAUAUCAACAGAUACAUUGGGAGGCAUCCAAUCGGGAGAUUUCCUGGAACCACCAGAGCCUUGGCUCCUAGCCUGAUCAACUCCUGCAAGAAUUGGAUGCAUUUGCAUUGGUUUCUGUACAAUGUUAGUGAUAAAUGAUGGAUACAGAAAAACAAAUACUCACUGUGAUAGUUGAAGAGAUUUUGGCGAUAACAGCUGGAGCGAAAGUGAUAACAUUCUUGAAGGGAAUCCUUCUGAUAAGAGGUAGAUUAUAGUCAUUGCCUCCAAUUUCUCCAACUAUGAAAAGGGAUUGGUUCAUCAUGUCCGAACAACCUGUGCAAUAUUAGCAUUUCUUUUUAGAAAAUGGAAGAGAACUUCUCGCCUCUACGUGUCCACAAAUAGCGUAUACAAUAUUACAUGAUUUGCUGAUGAAUCAAGAGAGCAAGAAAUUAUGCAUGCAUGGUACGGUGCAAUAUCAACAUGGGCUCUGCUUUCUGAAUUAGCACCAAGAGGAACUACUACGAUCGCUUGAUGGUGAGGUUACUGAGAUUUUCUUAAGAAUAAGUCACAUCUAUACAGUUGAAUCAACAACUAGUUGUACCUCCACGAACAUAUUAUAUACCACAUCAAUUUUAUGUUCAAAUGGUCACAACAAGAAAAGUACGUAGCUCUACCAUGUGACUUUGAUCAUCCUACUAAAAUAAGAGUUUAUACAUACAAACCUAGCGACCUCGAAUCAAAUCCACAGUGGUUUCUUCUCAUGAAGAGAAGUAAAAAUAUUUCUUUUCCAAAAUAUUUUUUCACCUAAAAAUAUUUUUUCUUAGUGGGACCGGGGCCAUGCCUUACUACUAUUAUGCAAUACAUCAAAUAAAAUAAGUAAUUAAGAGUGGACCACAUUUCUAAUUUUAUACAUUUUUCACCUAAUAAAAAUAUAAUAUUUGAUUGGUUUACUUCCAAACAUAGACGUAGUUAGUAAGGCAUCAUCAAUCAUGUUUGAUCAAAAGAAAGGAGGCCAACAAAUUAAAAAAAAAGUUGUUUUGAUUCUGAUUCUACCAACUCGUUUUCAACUUCCAGUGAUAACCCUUGUUCUCUGUAUUAUUCAAACAGAAAAGCUAUCGUUUGUAUGAGUGAUUUGUGCCCCCAUUUUUUGUUUCUGAGAAAUAUGAGUGAGGCCUUGUUUGGAUGUAGUCGGAUUCACAUCAAUCCACAUGUAUUGAGGUGGAUUGGAGUGGAAUUUAAACUAAAUUCCACUCCAGUCCACACUAACACAUAUGGAUUGAAGUGAAUACGACAACAUCCAAACAAGGCCUGAGUGAUCUGUGCCUAUGUCGCUCACACGAUUUGUGGGUUGUCCGUCCGAUUUGUUUUAGGCUUCCAUCUACACCGUGCUUCUCUCCUCUCUAUCAUGGAUCAUGCUCACGUAGACGCAGGAAGUCCACCUCGGCCUUGUUUAGUUUCCAGAAAAUUUUGCAAAAUUUUUCAGAUUUCCUGUCGCAUGCAUGAAGUAUUAAAUAUAGACAAAAAUAAAAACUAAUUGCACAGUUUAGUCGGAAUUGACGAGACGAAUCUUUUGAGUCUAGUUAGUACAUGUUUAGAUAAUAUUUGUCAAAUACAAACGAAAGUGAUACUAUUCCUAUUUUGUAAAAAUUUUUGGAACUAAACAAGGCCCUCGUCAAUGUGGAGAACAGGCCAAAGAACAGUGCACUGGCCAAGCACACGCCGAUAACCACAUGAAGGACCGAUAUGGUUGUAUCUAUACUAUACUCCUAUAGCUGGAGAUAGCGCCUCCUCUCACAGAUCACUAUUUAUGAACACUUCUCUCUCACAAAACACUGUUCUGGUAACAGUAAACCCGUUAAAGAACAGUAAAAGUCUGUUAAGGAACUGUGAACCCGUUAACAGAACAGUGCAAAUCCAUUAAGGAACAGUACAACCCGUUAAGGAAUAGUACUACCUGAUAAAAAACAAUAAACCCCGUCUAGAAACAGUUACACCUGUUACUAAAUAUUUACGGGUUCCGAACAUAACGUGUUAAAAAAAACCCGUUUACGGCUCCGUGCGAAAGCACGGGGGCACCUGCUAGUUAAAGAUAGCGCCUCCUAUCACAGAUCACUGUUUAUGAACAGUUCUCUCUCACAAAACACUGUUCUGGUAACAGUAAACCCGUUAAAGAACAGUAAAAGUCCGUUAAGUCCGUUAAGGAACAGUGAACCCGUUAACAGAACAGUACAAAUCCAUUAAGGAACAGUACAACCCGUUAAGGAAUAGUACUACCCGAUAAAAAACAAUAAACCCCGUCUAGAAACAGUUACACCUGUUACUAAAUAUUUACAGGUUCCGAACAUAACGGAUUAAAAAAACCCGUUUACUGCUCCGUGCGAAAGCACGGGGGCACCUGCUAGUUAAAGUAAUUCAAAUUCAUGGCUGAAAGUACAUCGCUGAUUUAUUGUGAGAAAAAAGUACUGUUGCAUGACUGAUAGAUUCGACAGAUAAACUCAAGCGAACAGAGUAGAAUUGUCGUAACUGAAAAUCUUUUGUUUUUUUUCAAGAAUUUGUUUUAUUAAAUAUGUUAUAUGUUUGUUUAAAUUUUGCUUUUUCAUCUGUUGUUGUAUCUGUUACGAAAGAAACAGAAUACAUUCUUUAAUAUUCUUAGUCCUUGUCUUGUUUGUAAGAUUAUGUCUAACUUUCUUGACCAAAAAGUAAGAAUGGAACUUUAAAGGAACUUAAAAGGAAAGGAUAAUUGAAGUAGAGUUUUAAAAAAUUAAUAAAAUAAAUAAAUAAAAGUAAAUUUAAGAAAUAGUUCCCUUUUUGAAGGGGCCUCUCAGGGGUCGUGGGAUGCUUUUCUUCUCCUCUUGUUCCAUAAUAUGAAAUACAAUGAAUUAAAAUUAGAAGGUAUAUUAGUUUCCAAAAAAACAAGAAGGUAUAUUUGUUUAAAAUCGGCUUGUAUUAUAAUUCGUGUCAUGGGUAUGGUUGCAUAAAUUUAUGACAUUAAAAAAAUCUGAUCAAAGCCCAUAUAUCACCAAGUUUUGUAUAGAUAGAUUUUUAAAAUACCUAGUCAAAGUUAAAAUUUGAGAGCCGCUGUCAGACUCCCCACAGAAGCCACCGCCACCGCUAGAGGCGAAGCUAGAGCAAAUAAGAGGGUGGUGCAUUUCUCUUAUAGAAUAGAUACAUAAAAUCGGGCUAUAAUCAUGGCGAAAAAUUGAUUUAAUCAGUGGUGUUUAAUUUUUUAGUGGGUGCAUGUGCACCCACUGUCUUGUAUAUAACUUUGCCACUGGCCACCGCAACUCUCCCUUCCGCCGCCCCUGCGGUUCCAAGGGCCUCUCUCCUUCUUGCUCUCAGAUGCGUCUACCUCACAAAAAGGAGAUGGGUCCCAUAUCAUUUUUUUUCUGCAGUUUUUUUAUCUAUUGCUUAGGGUUUAGUCCAAUAAAUCUUUCAACCAAAUCAGAUGAUUUUUGGUCGGAAUUGUGUUUCUUACGAUGAUUAUAGAGAUCAUCUUGUAGGUGUCGAUUUCAUUGGCAGAUGACCAAUUUAUGGCAUUUAUACAAGGGGAGGUGUGCUUCUGGGAGCUCCUACGAGAACAGCGACUUCAGGUCAUGGAUCUCAUCGUCAAAGAUCGUGGAGAGAAUUUUAAGGUCUCGAGGUAAUGAAUCUGCAGCCUAUGCAUAUCCAAUGAUGCAACUAUCGAUAUUUCUUUCAAUGAUUUAGAUGUGUUUUGGACAGGUUCUAAAACAUUAGAUUUUACGGCAUGUUUAAUGUUUUGAUAUUGGUCGUUGGAUUCAACAUAAAGACUACACUCUGGCUCCGGCGUUCGGGAAGCCUUUGGAGAACAAGAUGAUGGAUCUAGAUAGAAUAUUGUGUAUUUUUCAUUCCUGUUUUUUUCAUGUGUAAUUUAAGGAUGCAUUGUUACAAGAUUUAAUACAAGUCUCCCCUUCCAAAACAAAAGUUAAAAUUUGAGAAGGAAAAUAAAGUGAACUGUAAUGUAAUUAAAAUAUUAUUUUUCUUAUUGAUCGUUGUCCGAUAAAUCCCUUGGCGGCUGUGUUUAGAAAGAAAACAUAGAAAUGUGUAAAGAACACACAUGUCAAGUUAAGAAGCGGCGAAGUAGCACAUAGUAUAUAGAAAUUAGAAACAGUGACAUACGUGAGAGGUUGCCGGGGCAGAAGAGGUUGAGCAUGUCCCGGAACCACUUCAUCUCCAUGUCGAGGUGCACUACGUCGCCGACGUCAAAACCCCUGUCCCGGAAGAAGUCCGGGCCGAGCGCCGUGGCGCCGCCCACCGCGAAGUUGGCCCCGUGCAAGAAAUCCUCGGCGCGCCGCCGCCGCCCGCUCAGGUACGGCGGCACGAACGGAAGCCCCAGCGCAUCAGCUGCAGAUUAAUUUUGAACGAACCACAAUGGUCAGUGGAUGUGGAUGGAUAGCAGGAGCAGUGGCAUUGUGGCUGGCUGCCGGCGUACCGAUGAAGUCGAGGACGAUGCGGCCGUCGGUGAAGCGGCCGGUGGCGCGGUGGAAGAAGGUCUCGCCGUAGGGGAGCCGGAGCACGGGAUCGGAGCCGUUGGUGUAGAAGAAGCGGUAGUUGCCCGUGUCCGCCAACGAGUCGCCGAAGCUGAACACGCGCGUGUAGCACGCUGACGCCGGCGCCGCCACAGCUAGCACAGCCGCCGCUGCCGCCGCCAUGAUCGGGAAUAGCAGCCAUCUUCCUCCUCCUCUCCCGGAAAGAGAGGAAGCCAUGGUUUCUUGUUGGUUUCGGCGGCGCUGGAGAUCGACGGGCGCGGAAGAAUGAAACUGAACAAGCGCGAUCGAUGGCGGUUCUCUUGUUGUAGAUAAACGUCAGGAGGACCAGCCAAGUGCAUGCAAACUGAAACCGAAAGGCAAGGAAUGGAAUUUCGAUAAAGCGCAACACUACUCGUCCACUUGGAAUUGGGCUUCGGGCGUCAGCGACACGGCGGCAACAACUUGGAAGAAGCUAGCUAUAAUACAACCCCCGUCCGUGAAUAAACGAAUUCAUAGAAUUAUACUCCCUCCGUACCUGUAAAACUCUCCAAAGCCUAACUUUGACUCUUUAUUUUUAUAAAGAUAUUUUAUCAAAAAUGAUAUAUGUAUAUUUUUAUGAAAAAUGUUUUUAAGACAAAUAUAUAUAUUCAUAAAGUUUUCAUAUUUCUAAACUCAACAACUUAAAAGUUAUUUAUGAUAUUCCUAAUAUUUGACUCAAACCAUGUCCAAAUCGACUUCACAGAUACAGAGGUAGUAUGAGUCAAACAUUUUUUAUAUUUGACCAAAUGUAUAUAGAGGAGCACAAAUGUUUAUGACAAUGAAUGAGCGUACUAUAAAAUAUAUUUUAUGUUGUACUAUAUCUAAUUAUACUAAUUUGAUUUCAUAAAUCUUUUUGUUCUUUUUGUUCUAUAUAUGUAUUUUAUGGUGUAUACCGUAUCUAAUUAUUCUAAUUUGAUUUUGUAAAUCUUUUUAUUCUUUUCUAUAGGCUCACUGAUAAUUUUAGGACUUGAUUUAUUUAGGGACCGAUAGAAUAGUUAAUUGUUAUAGCUAGGUGGUAAGUAAGAUAUUAUGACUUGUUUAGAUUUUAUAUAAUAAUAGUUGUUUCCUCCAUUUUAAAUUGCAAUAGUAGAGUUUGCUACACACUUAGAUAUACAAUAUGUCUACAUACAUAAUAAAAUCUAUGAAUUAAAAUAACUAAAAUAAAUUACAAUUUGGAAUGGAGAAAAUAUCUACUAAAACAAUUUGAGAUCUUGUUUGAUCCUCAAGGGAGCUAAUAUCUUAGAUACCACCUAGCUAAUUGCUAUUAGCUUAUUUUCUCUCAAUUACACAGCUAAGAGUUAGCUGGCUGGUUCCAAAUAGCGUCUUACUCACUUCUUAUUUGUAUUGUUAUAACUAUACAAAUUUUUUUCUGAAAAAAAAAUCCUGCAAUUUCCUGUGGUUGACGGUUGUACUUCGUGCCUUCAUUCUCAAGGACUUUUUAAUUGACCGGAUAUGUAGAUAUUCAAAGUAGGCCUUUAUUUGAUUCAUUAAUGAUUUAUUAGGGAUUUUAUUAUAUUACAGUAUAGCAUUUGCACUAGACGCUACAUUCUUAUGCAUGAAUGGGCAAUAGAUUGUGUCAGGUCACUUGCAUGUUAGAGUGUGCUUAGGGCUUAGUUUCACAUCUAAAAAGACAUCAGUGUAUUCUUUUCUAAGGACUAGUAUGAUGGUCCUAAGGACUUGAUGCUAGUAUGAGUCUUUUUAAUCCUUAGGCAAGAACCGCAAGUGGGGUGUCAAAAAUUUACGUAGACUUAACAUUUGUGCUCAAUUAAUUUUUACAAUCCCAAAUCAACCUGCUCUUAGGUCAUUCGAUCGUCACUUGCGGCGUAGUGGGUGCCUGCUCGCCUUGUUCCAGGGCUUAUUUGGUAGAGCUCCAUCAACUCUAGAUUCACCAAGAACAGAUCAUUUUUUCUUGCCAAACACUUAUUGAUGCACCCACUCCACCAUGGAUCUAACCCACUAAAAUGGUGGAUCUGUCCUUAAAUUUACCAAAUUAGCGUAGCAGCUCAAAUGGUGCUCCACCAAUCCAAGUUUGAUGGAGUUGGAAAAAAUUACCCUCCGUGCUAUAGGGAUAGGGAUCUAAUGACAAGUGACGUGCCAUACUAUGCACAGAUCUAAAGCAUUAAGCAUGUAUCGAUGGUGAAGUAGGCAUAACAUACAUGCUAUGCACAACGUACUUGUGAAUCUUUAAAAGGCCAUAAAACGUAGUACAAUGCUACCACCACCACCACCACCACAGCAAGGUUCAGCAUCGAUAAAUCCAUGUGGCAGAGAAAAGAAAAGACAUGGAAAAUGCCACUUCUCAAACCACCACACGUGAACAACUUUCAUCACCGAAACAAAUUUAUUGACUGUUACAUUACAAAUACAUUCAAAGUUUCAGCAAGAAGGUGUCCUUCACUGAAGGCAAAUUUAUUGCCGUUUGGAAAAGCAGACUUCACAGGUUACCAUUGCUAUGUACAAUUGUGUGGUUACAGAACAGUCAGACGUGCUUCCAAGACAGACGGAAGCUGGGUCUGGUCCCUAAGCCAAACCCACUGCAAAGCAAUAUAGGAUGGUCUGAACUUUAACUGAUUUGUGAUAGAUGUGCAACAACUCAGUGACGGUUGGUAGCAUUUGUUAGGAACAUAACCAAAUAAAUGACUAGAAGAGUAAAGAAUCCACACUGAGGUGCAUAUCACAUAGCAUCAAUGCUGUUAUCUGAUGCUUUUGAUGCCUCUACCAGAGAUCGUUACUGACGCUGCUAUAUCAAUAGGGUCUUGGUGGAUAAGUACCAGGGUAAGGAGCUGCAGAAGAUCAAACAAGGCAGAGGGAGUUGAUCCAGUUAGAGCAUUGACUAAUAUCAUGAAAAAGGAUGAAUUCAUCUCUGCUCAAUUGCAUCUCACCAGGUGGAUACGGGGACUGUGCUGCCGGCGGGGGCGGGUAUGGUUGUUGCCCAUAUGGUUGCGGUGGGUAAGAUUGCUCAUAUGGUUGCGGUGGAUAGGAUGGAGGGUAUCCAGCAGGUGGGGGCUGGUAUGGUUGCUGUGGAGGUGGUGGAUAUUCUGCAGUGGUAUAUGGUGCAUGGCUAGGAGUUGGGUAAGCAGGGUAUGCGGUUGCAGCAGGAUAUGGUGAAACGGGUGGGUAUGAAGGUGUGACUCCUGUGUAUGGAAUCGCUGAUGCUAGUGCUGGUGCUGGUGCUGGAGCAGGAGCAGGAGCAGGAGCAGGAGCUGGGGCUGGGGCUGGGGUUGGGACUCGCAUUGAAAGUGCAGGAACAGGAUGUGCACUUGAUGCGGCAACACUUUUACCCAUCUUGUUCUUCUGUCAGACAUAACAAAAUCAGGCACAUGACAGGGCUAAGAAACCAACAAAGGAAGUAAUCAGUCUCUCACCAUUGCUGAGACAUCAACAUGCAUAAUGAGCUUCACCUCCCCAGCAGAUCUGAAAAUUUCCCACUGUCAGGAAGUUCACGAGCCAAGUGCACACAGGUUAUAUGAGAUAGGAAUACCUCAUGUGGCGUGUUUGAAGUGACCAUGAGGAGUCAUCAUAGCCAUUUGUGAGCACCUUGUGCAGAUACACUCUACACAAAAGCACAACUGAUGGUUACUCACUAAAAAGUAGAAGCCAUUUACCAUAUCGAUGAUGGAUGAUAAGGGUCACAAACCUGCCAUUGCCGAUGAAGUCAUCAUGGGUUAAUGUGUUACUGUUCCAUACAGUAACAUUCAACUCGCGGAGCCCUUCAAUGAGGGGUAUAUGGAACUUCUCAUCGAAAGUUGGGUUUCUUCCCCCAUCUGGCAUCAAUAUCACAUUUUAGGUUGAAAGAAAAGCGAGAUAGACUAAGAGAUAACAAAGGGAAAAUAUCAUAAAUUUAACCUUAUAUAAUUAGCAUAUUUCUAUAGAAACCUGAUUGUACAGAAAACUCUUAGUUUCUGGAGGUAAUAAUUGGCAAAAUGAGUGUAUCAUCAAUGUUCUGUGGAAACUUCCUUGCUUAGAGUUCGAGAAGCGUUUAAUCUCGUCUAUUAGCAGAUAAGAAGUAAGAACCUUAUUGGAUGCUGGAACCAUAUUAAACAAUUAUGUCUCAGUGUUCAGAAAAGUUCAGUGCCAUGGCAGAUACUUGGUAAAAUACUUGGUAAUACCCAAGACUGUAUUAGGAGGCUUUUAUAACAAUACUUGGUAAAUCAGUGAGGUUUUGAUUGAAUAAUCCUGGUUGCAACAAGGCUGGUGAAAGUUAAAACAGCUCUAGGUCCACUCCUAUUGAUGACCAUCCUCUGCCCCAGCACUCAGCUUUUAUUCACCUAGAGUUUUAGGAGCUAUCUUAUCACGAAGAAAUAACUGAAAUCAAGUUUGUGCUAAUUGCUCUCAUAAAUUUGUACAGCCCAAGAUGAAUUUGCAAUGACCAGACAGAGAACGGUGGUCCAUUCAACUCCCAAAGCAAAUCAAAAGCACAAUCUACAUAAACUUCUCUACUCUCUUCAUUACUUUUCAGUGCGCAAAUGCAAUUAGUUUUUCAAAACCGUGCAAUUGCAACCUAGUCAUAUAGCUAGAUUCCAGAUAGUAGACACAAGAAAAAAAAACAAGCACUUUAGUACCCAAAGUAAGUGUUUUUUGGUGCAGCAGGGUAUGUUCAUGCUGUCACGGUAGUUGUCAGCCAUUAAAGAUUCAAAAAGAUUAACACAAACAAAAUGGCAUGAGUGGUACUUGUUCCAACAUAAUUUAGUCCUAAACGAACAGAAGUCAAGCAUAAAUAUGCUGAUUGGGAGGUACCAAGAUUCCACUAGGGGCAUCUAGAGUAUCGACCGCAUAAAUAAAUUAGGCAUAAAGGCAUUAUGCAAAGUUAGAAAGAAUCAUCCCAGCUGGUUGGCUGGCAGUGUCCGUGUCUAAGCUGGUAUUCAUUCGUUCAUUGGUCAUUACCUACAGGCCAAAGCACAUUAGCUGUGAAUUCUCCCAUUCCCUCAUUAGUUGUUGUUGUCCUUUCCCGUGUCUUCUGUGGCGGCUGUCUUUGUAGCUAGUAAUGGUUUGUCUACCGCCUUUGUUCCCUGAUUUCUUUCCCUUUUUCUUACCCAGUCCUACAGAGUGAGCAAACCCAACAUCGAGAUGAACGAGAAGCUGCGGCAGCUGGGCCAUUCACCUACCCACCUAGUAGUCGUUAAUACCGAGACUUUCCCCAAUGCCUGAAGCCAUAUAAUAUAAACCUAGUGAACCUUGAACGAGUAUGUCCUAAACGCUCAAUCAACAUCGUAGGCUGGCGACGAAUUCCCUCCCCUCCCUGUGCACGGUGUGAAUUGGGAUGGGUUUGGUGGGUAUGCAAAAUUGUCUGACGCCGGUUCGACUUCGACGUCGACAUAACGAAAGGAAAACAAAUGAAGCAGUGCACGCCAACCAAACUGGCACCAUUUUAUUUUUCAGUGCAGCGAAGACCGGGCGCGGCCGAAGAGGAAGGAAGAGUAGAGGGGGGCGGUUACGGACCGGUGCAGGUGCGGGUGCGGAGCUUGGUGGUGGCGUACUCGAGGACGACGUAGGGGUCCUGGCGGGUGAAGAACUCCGUGUCCCGCAGCUUCCGGCACCCGGUGACUGCAGGCAGGGUUACGGGAGGAGAAAUCAGCUACCAGUAGGGUUACAGGGGGGAGAAGGAUCAGGGAGGAGGGAGGCAAGGCACCUCUGACUUCGAGUAUCAGCCCAUGGAUUGACAUGCGGAGGUGGCCGGAGUGGGGUGGGGGUCGGAGCGGGAGGAGAAGAGGGAUCUCGUCUAGGAAGGAGGAGACCGUGGAGCGGGGAUCUGAUGUUGAUGCGGUGGGUGCACGACGAGUCAGAAAGACGACGGCUCGGCCCUGCUCCGGUGCCGUCAUUUUAUAACGAGAACGAGACCCGCGGCGCGGCUGACCUGGACAAGUCCUUUGCGUGACAGCGUCCUACUAAUCAUGUCUUUGGAUAACUUCGAACGGGUGUUCAGAGCAAGAUCAAUGAUAAAAUUAAGUUUUGGCUAUAAAUCAAGUUAUAUAUAAGACAGGUUAUGCAAUAGUUGUCUUGUAUUUGACUAUUUUUUGUCUGUUAUUAUUAUGUGUUAUCAUAUCUUAUAUUCUCUAUCGUAUUUCUUGUAACAUACACUUCUAUCUGGAUCUACCAAUGUCUAUGUUUUUGUGACCAGCUUGUUGUUUAUAUGAGAGUCUAAAUCUUCCCCCUUUCUCCUCCUCUUCUUUUCUCCACAUAUCAAAAAUACUGAUUAGUUUACCUACAAGACCUUUAUUAUACUUGCUCUUAUAACCCGAAAGACACCAGAGAUAUACUUACGGUUUGUUUGAUACACAUUCAUAGUUAUUACUUGGGACUAAAAAUUAGUCCAAACCAGUUGUGGUUGAAUAACUUGUUGCCUAACAACUAGUUAAAGGCUUGCAAAAAAAUUAGUCUACCUAUCUAGCCUUCCUAUUUGGAUACGCUAAAACUAAUUGCGACUGUGCUCCACAUCUUGUCGUGUCAUGAACUACGAAUACAUCAUGAAGUUUCCCACAACUUAGGCCUUGUUUCGACACACCCAAAAUUCCAAAACUUUACAAGAUUCCCCAUCACAUCGAAUCUUUAGACGUAUGCAUGAAGCAUUAAAUAUAGAUAAAAAAGACUAACUAAUUACACAAUUUAUCUGUAAAUUACAAGACGAAUCUUUUGAGCCUAGUUAGUCCAUAGUUGGACAAUAUUUGUCAAAUAAAAAACGAAAAUGAUACAGUGUCAAACUUCAAAUUUUUUUGCAUCUAAACAAGGCCUUAGAGACAAAGGUUGUGCGUGAUUAUGGUGCAGAUCUUUCCUGGCUUAGUAAUGAGCAAGAACCGGAGGAACAGUUUCCCCUUGCAGAACCUUUUUUUUUCUUCCACUUCCACUUCUCCUUCAAUUCGUGAAGUAUUGUCACACUAUUUAGCUUAGUCACAAAAUAUAUUUAACACCAUUAAUCCUCAUUGUGGCAGAUAUUCGCUCCUUAGUCUAAAGGACUAUGAUCUAUAUGUUCUUUACUUGAUAAGUGGUGUAAUAAAUUAUUGACCAAGUAUUGAGUUGCUGAUCAUUGAAUAUUAAACGAAUAUGAACGUUGAUCGAAGCAGUGAGUAUGUUGUUUGAUAAAUAACAAAUGUUAAGUAAUUGACGUAGAGGCAUUUCUUAAACUUUAGUUAUAUGUUUACAAACAUAGACAAUUAAGGAUUUACAUGUUUUUUUUUUGAAAACCGCUAGAUAAAUUAGUUUCCUCUAUAUCGUACUAUAAUUUUUUAUGAGGCCGAUGACAUUCUUUUUUCUUCAUUCGCUGAACAACUAAAUAUAUAGCAAAAGAGAAAAAGAUCUUUCGUUCUCGUCUAAUAAAAAUCACGACAAAACUCUUGUCAUCUUUUUAACAAAUACUUGAUAAAAAGGGGGAAAAUGUUUUAGUAUAAGGACAAAAAAAUUCAAAGGUACGAGGACCAGUAAUAAUGUACUCAAUCCAUCCUAAAUUAUAAGACGUUCAACUUUUUUGACACUAAAUUUGACCAUUCGUCUUAUUCAAAAAUUUGUAUAAAAUUUUACUUUUUUGUCGUGGCUUAGUUUAUUAAUAAAAGUUCUACAAAAAUGACUUGAAUUUGAUCCUGUUUGCAUAAAUUUUUUGAAUAAGAUGAGUGGUCAAACUUGAGAUAAAAAAAUUAAAUGCCUUAUAAUUUAAGAUAAAGAUAGUAAUAUCCUUGUAAAUUGCCUACCAUGUUCGAUCAUGCCCCGACCGUUGCUCGUUCUUCACGUAAUAUAUAUAAUAAUAAUGACGCACGUGAUGCUUUACGUGCUCCAAUAACGUAGGGGUUCCGCACGGAAGCAUGUGAAGACGCGUGGUGUGCCUCGAGCCAACUCACGCGUGUAUCAGUCUCACCUCACGGCAUGGGGUUUCUCAGAACUCAGAAAAUGAGAAACGGAGGCGAACUGAAAGGAAAUCUGUCGUGGUAGGCCCUGUUUAGUUCCCCACCCAAAAUUUUUUCAUCCAUCCCAUCGAAUCUUUGGACACAUACAUGGGACAUUAAAUGUAGAUAAAAAAAUAAACUAAUUACACAGUUUAGUUAAGAAUCGCGAGACGAAUCUUUUAAACCUAGUUACUCUAUGAUUAGCCUUAAGUGCUACAGUAACCCACAUAUGCUAAUGACAGAUUAAUUAUGCUUAAUAAAUUUGUCUUGCAGUUUCCUGACGAGCUAUGUAAUUUGUUUUUUUAUUAGUUUCUAAAAACCCCUCCCGACAUCCUUCCGACACAUCUGAUGUGACACCCAAAAAAUUUUCGUUCCCAAUCUAAACAGGCCCUUAGCAAGCCGCGAUUGAAAAUUGAAACCGCGGGGAAAAACGCGGCAGAACUGACCGUUGCCGAUAGCUAUUUUCAAAUUUUAUUUAAUUUAGAUCGGAUAAAAAAAGAGGGGGGUGUUUUCAAGAGACCCACAACGACCACACGCCCAAACCACAAGGUAAAAGACGUCUCCAAUGGUGAUAGCUAUGUAGCUAGCUUGGUGAGAGACAAGAGAAAAGAUUAUUUUAUAUAUAUUUAUUUUCUUUAUAUACUAUUAGACCUACAUAUCAUUCUCUCAGAUUCUUAGACUAUGUAAAAUAGCUAACCAUUUGCUCGUCGCUUUUGAUUACUCUCUCACUUUUUGUCUGUUUAUGUCAUAGCAGCUAGCCAAAUAGUUAGGAGUGGCUCUACUUAGCGUAGGUCAAGCCGCAUGGCACGUGCAACAAAACGUUGGUAAUUGUGCUCCAUGGCGUCGAAAUUCUAUCUGCUACCAGGGCGUCGAAAUUCUGUCUGCUUGGUUCCCCGACCAGGCCCUAAGGGGCUGUUUGGUUGCCCGCAUGUGGUCGAACGAGCAUCCCGGGAUGCAGCCUGCUCGUGUUUGGUUGCCUGAAGCUGUCCCCGAGCCUAGCUGAGCACAUGCAAAAGGUCUCUCCGGGCCUGGCUGAGGAGAAACGACCAAAUCGGCCGUUCUUUUUGGGUCUGGCUGGCUCGGACAGCUGUUUAGGCUGCUAAUGAUGGUAUUAGUGUAUAAUUAGUAAAUAUUAAGUGAUAUUAAUAUGUUUUUGUAACACUCUGGUGUUAAGCAAACUAAAACAUGACAUGUCAUCAUGAGCAUUUCAUAGUUUAUUUGUUAAGUAAACCCUAAUGCAUUAACUUAAAAUAAGUUUAAUUUGGAUGAAUGUGUUUAGGAAUUUAAAGUGUGCUUAUUUUGUGUAUGGAUGCUUGUGUUGGAGUUUAAAAACCUUGGGUGAAAGUUUUCCGAGAGCUUAGGGGGGAAAACCCUAAUUUUAAAAACCCUAGAUUUGCCCCUUUUUGUGCAAUUCAAAAAAUAAGCAAAAUUUGAAGUUGAGUUCAAAAGCAAAGUUGUAGAUCUUGUCAAGAUGUACAACUUUGGUGUUUUGAGUUUUUGAAGCUUCAGUACAAAAUUCAAAGUAAUUUUGAAAAUACAGAUUUCCGAAAAGUGUCCCCUUUUUCCAAUUUCAAUCUCCAAUUCAAAAUCUAUUUGAAAUUUUGAAAAGUGAUCAACAUGAAAGUUGUAGAGCUCAAAAAGUUGAACAACUUUCAUGUUGGGAGUUUUUCAAGUUGUUUUGGAAAAUCAAAAGUAAUUUUGGAAUUUCUAAUCUGCCCCAAUUCAAAAUUUGAAAUUUUUCCCAAUUUGAGAUUUGGGUUUCAAACUAUUUGGCUCAAAUUAAUCCCUUUCCAUUUGAAAUCAGCCUUGGACCUUUAAAGAUGUUUUGUAGCAUUCAAAAUUCUGAACAAGUUUUAUUUUAACAGAAAUUUGACUUCUAUUCAAAUUUUGGUCAAUUUUCGCAAAAAGACAGAAAGGGGUAAAUGGGGAAGAGGGGGGAUAAGUUCUAGCCCUGUUCAUGGCGGUGGACAGCCGAGCGUUGAUCGGCGUUUGCCAGCGUGUGAGUCACUGUUUAACCUCAUCCAAGCACGUGCUCGCGUCCGUGGCAAGGUGAAGCAGCUGCUGGCGAGGUGGAGCGCGGCGUGUCCCUUCCUCUUGCGCUCACCGACGUCGUUUUGCCACGGAGCACCGACGGAUAGCGUUCCACUCAAAUCCAAAAAUCACCGCAACGGUUGAUCCAUAUCCAAAUUCACCGUGAGCAUAUCUUUGUUACCUCCUUGCGCAUCUCCAGAGCCCACCCUUCUAUUCCCUCUCGCACCAGAGCACCAGAAUUCAUCGUUUCCAUCCUCGCCGGAGUAAACCGCCGCCGAGCUCGAGUAUCCCGUGGUUGGCCCAUCCGGGCAACUCUCUGCUCUCUCUUUCUCUCGUCUUUGCUUCGUCAUGACCCCGUGAUGCUCAUCGGCUCGCUCUUUUCCCCGUUGCUUCACAGCUGUCGCCGGAACAUCGUCUUCUUCGUCGGAGCUCGCCGCCGGAGUCACUGGUCGCGUGGACGAGUAUCACCCGGUUGUUCUCCGCUCCUUCUCUCUGCGUCAGCACACCCAGGGUGAGAUGCCGAUGCUUCCUGACCUCUUCUUCCUAUCUCUACCGGUCCAGGGUCACCGGCGUAAGCACCGCCGCGGCCAUGUCCGCCGCCGCUCGUGGCCAGAGCUCGCUGGAGCAAUAGAGUUCAGGUUUUCUAGCUCGUUCGGUUGCGGGUUGCUUGCUGAUGCUCGUGCUCGCCUCAGUUUGGUUCGGGGUGGCCGGAGUUGCCCGGCGUAACCCACGCCACCGCGUUCUGCCGCGCUCUGGUUAGCCGGGGCGUCGGGGACCUCGUAGUUGUAAAGAUGAGAAAGGGGAGGGGGUUGGUUGCGAAGCCGUAGACUCAUGUGAAUAGUUGGCUGGGCUGCGGGUUGGUUUCUAAGAAAGCCGAGGGCUUUUGUGCAAAACCAUCAGCACGCGCGGGGGAAGGCCGACUGGGCCAAAUUUCGCGCGAGCUUGGGCCGAGCUCCUGGGCCUGCAGUGGCAUAGUGUUGUUUUCCCUUUUUCUUUUAUGCAAUUUAUGUUGUUUAUGUUUGAAUUUGUGUAAUAAAUUAUCUACUGAUCCAAAAAUGAUGAAAAAUUUUGUGUAGGUUACAUAAAUUUAUUAGAACACAGGAAAAAUGUUAGACUCUAUUUUAUGGUAGUUUGCAUGUAUCUAUAAAUUGCCUCUGUUUAUUAAUAAAUAAACCUUCCAUGAUUUUUUUUAUAAUUUAUGGGUAUAUCCAAUAAUCAUGAAAUUUGACAUGUGAACUUGUGUUACUGUUGUCUAUCUCCAUGAAUAAUUUCAGCUCCUUUUGAUAAAGUAUGCUCUGUUUCUUAAUAAAGCUAUUGAAAAUAAUUAUAAAAGAAAUAGAAAUAAUUAAUUCCUUUAGAAUUUGUGUGAUGUUUUGGAUUGAUUGACAACCAGUGGUUACUUAGCAUGAUAUGCUCCCUGGUUAUGGUUUAUUUCCUAUGAAUGAUCUUUGUUAUCUAAUGACUACAUAACCUUGCUUAAUAAAAAUGAUAAAGUUUGUUUAGUAGUAAUUUAUGCUUUGAUAGCUAGCUUAGUUUGUUUCUUUACCAUGAAGGUAAGUUGUACUCGAGGUAGUUAUAUUUGUUGUUAUCAUCUAAGAACAUGUAACCUGUCUUUAUCAUGCCAUGAGUAUCUCAUAAUCAUGCAUAUGCACUUUUACGUAUAGAAUAUGCUCCGGAAGAAUCUGAUCCUCAGUGGGUUGCUUCCGAGUUUGUGGAUCCUUCGGGUUUUACUGAGUUGCCGAACUUCCCUUCCGGUCAAGGCAAGCCCCGGACAUUAAACCUUAUCCUUGUAUUUUCAUAAAGUUAUUUAUAUCACUUGAGUUAAUAUGAUGCAUUAGGUGAAUAGGAGUUGGGUGAAUCCUAUUUGCUGCAUUAUCUACCUUGAUGAUUUCCAUAUUAACCUUGAUACUUGUUUUAUGAAAAUACUUAGUAUGCUUAGCCCUGCUUAUUAGAUAGGUUUUCAAAUGAGAAAGUUUGAAGGGUUGUUGUGGAAUACUUUUAUAGUCAAUAAUGUUUCAACUUGAGACCGGUCGGUGGACCUUUAAGAAUGGAGUCUUAAAGUAGUGUCUCCAACUGUAUCGAUUAAGGACCGUACCGUUGUUGGCCUGUUGUGAUUGAGAUCUUUGAGUACAGCCCACAUGCGGUGGUAAGCCUUACCUAUAGCUAUUCCGAUACUUGAGAACGGCUAACCGCGUACUGGGAGUGGAGAGAUGGCGAGAGUAGCGUGUACCCACCUUACGGAUCUGAGAUGACCGGGAAACAUCUAGAUUGGCUGUAGGAUGGUGGUGUACUGUACUCUCGGGUGACGCUGGACCCGUUCUUGUAUGGGAGGAUCUAUAGAAAAGGUUGACAUAUGCAAGAUUAAGUUCUACAUAUGUCGUGUGGUACUGAAUCCCCAGCUGGGUUUAAUCGAUUCGAAUCGCCGUGUUUCCUCGGAUAUGGAGCCUCAAUCCUCGUACCAUCAUCGUAGUAAUAAGUGAAUCUUUGGUAUAAGAAAGAUAUGGUUUGCUUAUGUAGGUUUGAUAAUAUUUUGGUUAGUCAUAAAUGAUAACCUUGAGUUAAAACUUGAAAGUAGGUUUAAUCUUAGUAAGCUUUUAUGCAAAAAGAAAUGCUUUGAUCUUGCUAAAGCUUUACCUUAAAUCCCUAUAGCCUGCAUACCUGAGUCUUCACCUCUUUUAUAGUCGGUUAAGUCUUGUUGAGUACUUUUGUACUCAGGGUUUAUUAACCCAUGUUGCAGGUGAAUCUUUUGAUCAACCUUUUGAUGGUCGUUGUUACUUUACUCUUGUGGAGGAGAGUGAUGAUGAUGAAUCUGAUGUGUGACCUUGGGCAAGUAAAGCAAGUUGUGUGACUUAUGGUUUAUGUAAUAAUAAGUUCCGAACCUUUUAUGUACUAAAUACUUAUGGUUUGUAAACUAUGAACUUAAGUUUCAAUCUAUGUUAUGUAACCUUUCCGCUUUUACUCUGAUUUAUCUUAUCUAUGAAAUGUUGUAAUACUGUAAUGCUUGAUGAGGGAAUGCCUGGAAAGAAUGUUAUGUGGAUGAUUCGGGUUUCCCGAGGACACCCGACAGACUCCUUGAGUCAUUUGGAACUCAUGCACGUCGAUCAGAAGUCUUUGGGACAAUGAUGUGUGCAUGUGGGCCACUUAAUUCAGGAGGUUCUGCCACAGUUUUAAAGAUAUUUAAGGCAUAAUUAGAUAAAAAUAAGAAUGUUAAGAGUAUAUUUGCACAAAAUAAAAAGUUUUAAUAAUAAUCUUAUAAUAUUUUUUGUUUCAUACAACAUGUCUCGUACACACAAUCAAACAACAUCUCGUCUCAGCCGGGCUAGCUAGAUACAACCAACCGAACACAACAACAUGUAUGCACUCAGUCUGUCCCAUGUGAGUCAAGCUCUCGUAUAUUACUACUACGUGAACCAAACAGGCCCUUAAAGCGCUGGUCUCGCCUUGCUCCGCUCGAUCGACACAAGGUCAGCUCACGCGUUUGCUAGUCCCGUGGCUUGCUUUGCGCAGCAAUGGCUGGGCAUUUGUUGCCUGCGCACCUUGGGCAGUUGUGCGGAAUAAAUUCGUGUCGUGCAAAACCGCGGGAACCAACGGACGGACCACGCGUCUUCAGCGGGUGGGCCUGGGCCGUUUGUAUCCGUUCGGCGUUGGCGGAUGGUGGCGAGUGGCCACCAAAUCGACGGGCCCACCAUAGAGCUUGAGCCUGGACACGCGCACGCCUGCCUAUGGGCCCUAUGGCGAGCGUCGCAGAAGCGACUGCCUUGGCGUUUCCCCGGGUCAAUAAGGUCCACUGGUCGAGGUCUUUCGUUUAAAAAAAAGAAGAGAGAAAAGAAAACAAGGUCAAGGUCAAGGUCAUUUGUUAACUCGAGGUCAAGCGAGCCAAGACACGGCUACCAGUCGUCAUCCCUAGGGUGCAAAAGAGUGAUUAGGUGCACCUCUAAACCUUUUUAGUUCAAAUAUUUAUACUAUUUUUUAAAGAAAAUUUAAAAAGUAGUAUAAAUAUUUAAACUAAAGAGGUUUGGAGGUGCUUAUCCCUUUGCACCCCUAGUCAUCCCAAUCCCAACACAAUAAAGCCUUGUUUACUUUCUUAAAAAAUUAUAAACUUUUUUAGAUUUUGCGUCACAUCCAAUCUUACAGCACAUACAUAGAAUAUUAAAUAUAGAUAAAAAAUAACUAAUUGCAUAAUUUAUCUGUAAUUUGUAAAAUGAAUCUUUUAAAUCUAAUUAAUUUAUGAUUGGACAAUAUUUGUUAAAUACAAAUAAAAGUGCUACCGUGUCUAUUUUGAAAAAAAAAAAAAGAACUAAACAAGGCCUAAUACCAUGUGGACGGCCAAGCAGUAUUCGCAAAGCACCUCCAGCAGCUCUCAAACAAGUCUCAAAUUUCAAAACUAAAAUUAUAUAUACGGUAGCGCUAUUCUAUACCCUAGGUGUAGAAUAUUAUUCUACACCGCAAAUCAAAACUGAGUAGAAAAAAUACUGAGCAGUACUGGAGAGUGUUCAGUAUCAACUUGUCCGACACUUAGGACCAUGAAAUACUGAACAAUACUGAAACACGAGUACUAAGCGAUACUGAAUUUUGCUCAGUAUAACAGUUCGGUGUAAAAUAGUAUUCUACACACACACACACACACACAAUAUAUAUAUAUAUAUAUAUAUAUAUAUAUAUAUAUAUAUAUAUAUAACUUCAGCAUGUACCCUAUUCAAGUCGUUAAGUUAGAGAAGCUCUCAGAUUCUCCUUUGACUUUCAUUCUUCUGAACAUUAACCGCGGACCGUAUCAGAUGGCUGGCCAUAUUCUUUCUCCCGCAUCGGCACUUCCCUUCCUUUGAAUAAAUUUGGGGGGGCUUUGAUUUGAUACUUAUUGUUGGAGAGAAAUAAGUUGUUGGAAGAUAAUAGGAGCUCUCAAAUGAAAAGUAGUGAGGCUUGAUUUUUUUUUUGUUGGAAAAGUAGUGAGGCCUAAUUUGAGGGUUUCUGUUGGAGUUAUUCUAAGGCAUAUUUUGGUUUAGUACCCAUAGAUUGGGACUCUAAUUAAAUAAACAGGUGCAUACUCGUUUGCUGAUUGUCUAAAAAAAAUUUCCAAUCACAUCAAAUCUUGCGACAUAUAUAUAGAGUAUUAAAUAUAGAUAAAAAAAUAACUAAUUGCACAAUUUACCUGUAAUGUACGAGACGAAUUUUUUAAGCCUAGUUAGUCCAUGAUUGGACAAUAAUUGUCAAAUAAAAACGAAAGUACUACGGUAGCUAGACCCAAAAAUUUCCGCGAACUAAACAAGGCAUAAAUCCAUUCUAUUCUGUCAUAUAUUAAGAAAUUCUAGGCCUUGUUUAGUUCCAAAAAAUUUUGCAAAAUUUUUCUGAUUUCACGUCACAUCGAAUCUUUAAACGUAUGCAUGAAGUAUUAAAUAUAGAUGAAAAUAAAAACUAAUUACACAGUUUGGUCGGAAUUGACGAGACGAAUCUUUUGAGCCUAGUUAGUCUAUGAUUGGACAAUAUUUGUCAAAUACAAACGAAAAUGCUAUAGUGUCGAUUUUCCAAAAAAAAUUUGAACUAAACAAGGCUCCUGGUGUUGUACUAAGGCUUGAAAAUAUUGUUUUCAAGGAUAGAAACAAAUCGCCUCAGUUGCUUGAUAUAGCUGUAUUUAUACAUGGAAUCUGAGAUAUGUUUAAUCAUGCCGUGGUCAGAAGUGUUCUUAGCAGUUAGCACCCCUCUUACUUCAGUUCUGACUCUUAACCUUGAUUGGUUUCUUAGAAAGCACGCAUCGUGGAUCGUAGUUAUGAUCACUUGUUUGAUUCAUGGAGGUAAAAGGGGAGGUUGAAGAGAAAAUACAUCUCUCGUCUAGUGAAUAUUUACAGGUCAUAAUGAACUACGAAGGUACAUUUAAAAUAUCCUGUUUAGUGCGAGUUUUUUUAAGUAAAAAUAAGGUAUGACAUGUCAUAACUCAUAAGGUCAGUCUCAUUGGAAAGUUCAUUGCGUUAUUUCUAAGACUAUUAUGUCAUAUGAAAUAAAAUGAACUUGGAUGAAACACCCACUCUUAAUGAAGAGUUUCAUUUCAUAAUUUCAUGGACAUUUAAUUUCAAGACUCAUAAAGAGUUGGUAAUCGUGCCAAGAAAGUUUCAUCUAGAUAAAACUCAUUUCUUAUCUCUUGUUAAAUACACCGUUGUGCCAUCAAAAAAGCCUAUAUAACAACUUAUUUACUGUAAAUAAAACUCACAUAAAAUUCGCAUUAAGACUGACCAAACGAACUAUAAAGAUGCAUUCGUAUUCCACUAAAACUACAGUUCCCACACAAUUACAGGUAGUUGACCCUCACCCCUUACCAGCAAAACUUCCACUGACAAAACAAACAAAAUAUUUUGAUGAGACUCUUUAGUCCCCUAUGAAAUAUAAAAUACAAAAUGCCAACUAUUUUGAAAUGAUAAAAUACAAAAUGCUGAAAAUUUCAAAGUUAUGUUUAGUUCCAUCUAAAAUACAAAACUUAUUGACCUUAUUAUGGUCUCUUAAGGCUCUUUUGGGUCUUUUUUGGCCUCUUAAUGUUAAAAUCCAAAAUGAAAAAUGACAACCGUUUUGCCAAAAAAAAUUUGCGUAGAGUAUUAUUAUACAAAAUAAUAGACCAAAACCUAGAAUUUUUUGGAUGAAAGAGGAACUAAACACCCCCUAAACUUCUAACUCAGAAAUCCUUUUAAUUGUCAAAAAAAAAACUCAGAAAUCCUUUUCAUGCUUUCAAUUACUCCCAACCAAUUAGUGCCCAGAUCAACUUGUCCUUGUUCCGUGAUGCAGCCAGCAGCCCACAUCCGAGCUUAGUAAAUUUCAAUAUUGCAGUUGCCAAGAAACAAAGAUGGCACCAAAAAAAAAAGGUGAAAGUGAUAUAACCUAGUAUCUCGUAUCUACCCAACAGUUCAACUUAAUUCAUUAGUCAUUACAAGAGGAUCACAACAAACUGAGUUGGCCUGGUAAUGCUCUAUCAAACGAUAUUUACAGUCAGCCAAGACUACCACAGGAAAGGGAGUUCGCCACCAGUCUUAUAGUCACCAACCACUUUAUCUUUCUCCCAGGCUUCGUCGUAGAACAGUCUUUAGACUCUUCUCUAUCACUAACACAAACUCACUCUACAACACCCAUUACAAAGCACAAGCAGAAGCUGCAGACCAGCUUAUACCAUGAUUAUGAGCUCUUUAUCCAAAACUACUUCCUGCUUAUAAAGCCAGCCUGGGUUGUUGGUUUGCACGCAUAUUAUUGCGCCUCAUCCUCAACCCCACGUCCUCUUCCUGAUCUCGCAGGACAAGGGCUCGGUCCUGGUCAUCUGACCCUAUAGUUGCUCCAGAUUCACUUGGUUCGGGUGAGUGUGAGUCCUCGCCAAAGUUGUGCAGCCUCCGGCCAAUCAGAUAGCGGUCAUCCCUGAUGGAGUUGUGGAGGUUGGUGAACCAGACAUGGAAUCUCUUGCCACAAAAGAAGAGUGCGCUGAAGAUCAGGCAUCCAAGCCAGGCAAAGCGGUACACUGCUGAGUUCACUAUGAGAGGGUAACCCAGCACCGGGAAGAUGCCCCUUGCAAGGACGUAUGGGACACAGAGAGCUGUAAGGAGCUUGGUGACAAUCGGCAUUAUAAUUUCAUGGAGGACCCACAGACCCCUUAAACGGGAGAAGCCAUCAUCUCUAACUCUCUCAAACUUUGACCUCCAGCUUUCAUCAACCAAAGGUGCCAUCUGAUCCAACAUAACCUGGAAAGUCUCAUAGUAGGUUGGUCAAUCUACUCAAUCCUAUUCUAUGCAAAUAUCCAAAUAGGUAACUAACCUAUAGAAACAAGAUUGAUAAGUAGCUGAGAAAUGAAUAAUGAGGACACGAGAAUCAGAGAUCUAUAAUCUUACCAGUCUAGUCCAUAUUUUCAAGAAUAUUAACCCCAGUGCCCAAUCCUGGUACAAUAGGAAGACAGGGCUCUCAUCAAUAGGCACCCUCAUUGGUACGAUGACCAGCAGCUCAAAAAGGAGUCCAAUCAGCACAGGAAUAACAAAGAUCUGAAAGAAAAGAUUGACACUGCUGGUUAGAUCCAUAAUAACAAUAGUUAUUACAUAGAAAACAGUACAACCGCAAAUCAGUGAACUCCCACAAGUUAAAAGGGGGAUAGUUGAAACAGUAGAAGUUCAUUCUAGAAGAAUUACCCAUAUUGACAAGAGAAAAGAGCUCUUCAAAACAAUUGAGCACCACUUGCAGAUUUGUUGUACCAGAAAUCCCAGCUGUCGUGAUCUGAUGUAAUCAAUCGCAUAUCUGGUCCCAGCUGCCGCACUCCAGAGAAUAUAGCACCCAAUGCUAAAGGAGAACAGAUCUGAUAGAGUUCCAAAAGGUGUCAGCAAACGUGUUAUACAACUGAUCUCGUUAUUCAUGAAUUAUAUAACAUCAAUUCAGGUAACAGAAUCACAUGCACAUUACCAUUGCACUUGAUGCCAUGUGUGAUUGGCAGACGGGGAACAGCCUCAAAAACCAAACGGCCAAGCGAGAUAGGAAUAACUAUCAUUCCGGCAUUGAAUAUCAGUAGUGUCACCCAUGCCAGUACAAGCAAGAGCACGAUCCGAAGCACAAAGCCAUACCUUAAAGAUGGGAAAAAGGUCAGAUAACAAAACCAUAGUUAUUAUGUUGAUAUACACACUAAAAUACUCUCGAGUAUUUGUUGUAAACAUGAAUCAUUACUCAAUUAUGUUGAUAUAUAAUCUAUGUGCCAAAUUUGAUUCAGAAAAUUUGUGCAGAUAAUUGGACCACAGUUGUUUUCAGUUUAUUUUUUCUAAACAAACUCAGUUAUGUGCUUAUCUUCAAAUCUGUUCAGUUAUUUUGAUAGUGUAAUCUGUGUAGUUUACAAAAUACAUGGAAAGAUGGGCCAUAGGUACUUCUUUUCCACAAAUCUAGCGAUUAUACUUACUCAGAGUCUCCUUGAUCAUCUACAUCAGAUUCUUCAGUGGCAUCAUUUGCUUCAUUUGCAUUUCCCCUGCCAUUAUCUUCUGCGGCAACAUGCUGUAUCAUGCGUUGUUCGACCUGUGGGGCAACCAUUUCCCGUCCACCAUGUCCCCUGUCUCUUCUUUCUGCCCUGCCAUUCCAAUUUUCCUGCCCACCGUUUUCUUCAGGUUUUGGCAGUAAGAAAUCGGUUAAGCCAAGGGCCCAACCAACCGCAGCAAACCAAUGAUGUAAAAGAGAUUUAAUGGUUGCACGAGGCUUGAAAUGCUCAAUAGCAAAUGGUAUGCAUAUUUGGAACAGAAGGACAUCAACUGGAAUCUCAGUAAACGGGUCAAAUAUGCUGCAAUUCCACAGGAGGCAAACAACACUUAGGAUUGGAAUUCCAAAUGACAAAAAAAAAGCAGAAUAUACGUUGGUAAGCUAACUCACGUGAUGUCAAGAGGAAAAAUUGAAGGAGCUACUCUCAUGGCCAGUUUUACAGGUAAGAAGACCAGCAUCACAAUCAAACUUCCAUACACUGCAACUGACAAAAGAACACGCCGGGCAUGCUUAUGCACAGGAUCGUCAAUCAAAUCCCUAAAUGGAUUGUAAUUUGGAUCAGCAGGGUCCCGCAGAAAAUAAAGAACUCCAUUGCGCAGCACCUACCACAAUAAGGUAAAAAGAAAGUGAGAUCAGUGGAACAUAGGAGAAUUAAAAUGUUUGAGUGCUGUUGCUCGAAAUAUCAAGUGGUAGGGCAAUACCCCUCGAAGAAGGCUGACAAAUAUGCUUAUUUGAAGCAUAUACACAAUCCCAACUAGCCAAUGGAUAGAUGAGCUCGCCAAGGGUGACAUUGUAAAGAAUUCAACUCUCUGCGCAAUUGUUGUGCCCAGCAUCUUUAGAGUGCAAACAUCAAGCCACCAACCACACAUAAGAGGAAAUACACCAAGCUCAAUGACCAGAAGGAAUGCAACUUUGACCAUAGUCAUAAGGUGCUUCAUUCCAGCAAAGAACUGCCUGCAUAGAGAAGGGAUGGCCUCUAAUAUAGUAGCUAUACCAUAGAGUCUUCCAAUGGUGAAACGUUCUCCCCUGGCAUAUCGAAGUAAGGCCAGUGAUCCAAUGUACAAAAAUACCAGACAGAAGAUGAACAUGUAUCCAACAGCAAGAGUUGUCAAAUCUGAAAGAUAAGAUGAGCCAAUUGUUGUUCCUUUCAUCAGACUGCUCUUCCCAGUGCCUUGAAUUACACUAAGACCAGUGGCAUUUAUCUUCAAGGAUUGAGUAACAACCUCAAUCACAUGCCCAAUAACACCUUCAUUAUUACUGUCGGAAGAAAAAUUCUUCACAACAUUAAGUGCGCUCUUCAAUGUAUCAUUAGCUAUAGAAAUAGCUGUUUCUGUGAAGGGCAUCAUUUUUGCCAGCAUAGGAGUAGAAGCCGAAGAGAAAAACCAUGAUAGAUAGUACAGGACAAUCCUUCCCAAUGAGAAUGGAACAAAGAUCACAACAAUAAGGAAUAUAGCAUUGCUGGCCAAAACCUGGAGAAAAGAUAUUCCUGUCAGUGUUUUGAAAUAUAAGAGAUGCAACUGUGAUGGUUGGAAGAUAACAUGCAAUUUACUAGCAAAAAUAUAAUAAAAGAUUUAUGGUAGUAACCAUAUGAAAGUACAUCAACUAUGAAUCUAAUGAUACAGUGUAAGAAAAAUUUAUCAAGCUGCUCUCGUGCCAGCACUUUCAUUUCGUAUUUGAUAUGAAUUUUUUUAAAGCCAAAACUUGGGCAAAUGGUCUCAAGAUUAUCAAAAACAUGAUAUUAAACAUAAAAGCUCCUUGAAACUCUAUUUCAAAGGGCCCUACUAGUAAGACUCCUUAUCACUAAAUUGGACAUAAUAAUUACUUCAUCCGUUCCAAAUGUUGUAGUUUUAAUACUCUCUAGUCAAUUUUUCCAACUUUGACGGUAUUGUUACAAAAAAAAUGCACCAACAUAUAAAAAAUCAAAUUACUUUCAUCAGAUCCAAAAUGAAAAGUACUUAUGGUGCAUUUAUUUGCGGUUGUAGAUGUUAACAUAUCUUUCUGUAAACUUGGUUAAAGUCAUAGAAGUUUGGCUUAGGACAAAACAAAAAUGUCCUGUAAUUUGGAACAGAGGGAGUGGAAGAGUUCUCGGUGUUUUGCAGUAUCAUAACACUCAAAAUAGUUAUGCCAACACAUGUAGAUCUAAAAAAAAAGUAUUGUAGGAAAAAAUAGUACUCACUGUUAUUGCAUUCUCAACCAAGUGGAAGACAGGGCCUUGCAUGCCAACAAGUUCAUCAAAAGGAACAUCCUCUGCACCAUCUGCGUCAUCCAGACCAUCAAGCAUCUGCUCAACCUGAGCCUCAAGUCGUUCUAAUCGAGCAGCAACAUUUUCAGCAUUUCUCCUGAGAAGUUCACCAGGACCAAUUCCUUGGGCUUCUGCUAAUUCAUCAAUAUUUGCAUCUCCAGGAACCCUAUUAUUAGGACCAGCUAGCCUCCUGACAGCCCGAGCACCAUGCCUUUCACGUCCUCCAUCAUCCCUCUCAGCAUCAUGUCCACCAAGUUCACGCAAAUGCCUUAUGUAGUCCCGUAAUGAGGUGGCUCCGAGAAAUAUAAGGACAAUGAUAGCUGAGAGAAGGAACCCAUGAAGGCAAUCACUAAGGAUCAACUGAGCACUGAUGUGACUGAGGAACAGCCUUUGCGCUUCACCAAGACUUCUCACAAAUGUUAACCGCCAUAUCCAAUAGGUAAUGAAAGGGAUAAUCAUGAGCCAAACUGAGAGAACAAAGGCAAGCCGAAGGAUGAAUUGAAACACAUGGCAUGCUUUCAUUCCAACACCAACUAUCAGUUCCUGGAAAGGAAGUCUUGUCGGAGCAUUCUCAGCGUACACGGGUGAGAAGGAGAAUGCAUGUUUACAGACCUGCAGUGCACAUAUGCAUAAAUCAGAAACUAUCUAGAGAGAAAAUGAGGUGAAGACAGACACAUCAUAAUCGUCGUGAGCAUAUUUUUCCUUUGCAAUACAAGACAUUACUACCCAGCCGUAGAGUUGUGCUUGGAACCCCCAACUAAAACUUGUUCAUUCAUUUGCCCUAGACUAACAAAAUGAAUUAUUCAAAAGGAGGUUCAUUCUAAUGAUUCCAAUUCCUCCAUUUUUUUCAUUUGUUCCGAAGGGGGCCUAAGAGAGGAUAAGGCAACCGAAACCGCAAAUCAGUUGUCAAUACCAGUCAAUAGCCUCACUGCUAAGCACAAGCAGACGUUGUAGGUUAACAGAAUUAUUAUGCCUCCGAAAAUAUUCUGAACCCCAACAGCAGCGGAGCAUUAUGAAAAUACCUUUGCUAGCUGAAUAAUCAUUGAAACCAUCCAAUUGUCCUGAUUCACAACCCUAAUCCCCUAAUUUCUAGCAACUGAAAAGGCAUAUCCAUUAUGAACGCCUAUUAACAAAGAAACAGCACCCAUAGCGCCAGCUCAACAUUCAAUCGAUCGAUUCCACCCCGCAAUCGAACUAAUCAAUCCCUAAAGCAACGACCCAGCGGCGUCCCCAUCCGCGGGGUGAGGGCGGGGGCGGGGGCGGUUUUACCUCGCACUGGCGCGAGUUGCUAUGGUCGAGCCACUGGAGGAGGCAGUCCUGGUGCACGAACUUGAUGCUGCCGCUGCAGGCGCACGGGUAGCGCAGCGGGUGGUCCUCGUCGCCGCGGUUGCGGCAGAUCCGGCACACGUCCCCCUCCUCCUCCUCCUCCUCGUCCUCCUCCUCCCCGUGCGGCGGCCGCGGCUCCUCCGGCAGCUCGCCCGCGACGGCCCGCUCGGCGAUCUCCGCCAUGGCUGCCUCGAUGGGGCGGCGGCGAAGUUAGCCGCGUUCGAUCGAUCGCCCGGGGGAGGACGCGGAUAGGGGAGGGACGAAGGCGGUGGUGGGAAGUUGCAGCGAAAAGAGGAAGAAAAAACGUGGGGUUUUUUUCGGAGCCUCGUUAAUGACGCGCUGGAUAUGGCGGUCGGCUUAACGGGUCUCGAUGGGACGCAUAUGGUGGGUGUGGGUCCGUUUGGAGACCCGAACUUCUCCAGAGCGUCGACGGCCGGGGCUAGACACCGCUUCUUCUUUAAAACAUUAAAGGAUUUUUUUUUUGGAAAAUUGUAUUGCUGCCCACGUUUUCAACUUUAACAGUAUGUUUGCCCUUAUUUUUAUAAAAGUUUGUAUAUUUUGCCCUUGCUUCUCAACUCGGUGAGCUGGAAAAUGAAGGAAGGGAAAAAGACUAUAUUACCCCUCCCUCAUCCAAAAAAAAUGCAAAGGGUUGUUUGGUUGUUGGCCACACUUUAUCAUGCUUUACCUUAGACAAGUUUAACUAAGUUGGUAAGUAUUUGUUGCAACUAAGUUUAGGUAUGAUUCUUUUGGGCUCCACAUGUCAUAAAGUUAAAAAGUGUGGCAAGAUUUUCUUAGGCGUGGCAAAGUGUGACAACCAAUUUGCUACCCACACUUUUUAUGGCUUGCCACACUUUCCUUAAGUUAGUUGUGGCAAACUAUGACUAGCAACCAAACAUGUCUAUAGUCCUCUUUUCCUUUCUCCCGUUGCCUAAGGAACUAGGGCCGACUGCAUGGGGUCGGUGCGGCCAGCAAAGUAGAGCAGCGACGUGGGGGCGCGUGACACUUCCUAAAGGUGCGGCGUGCCAGGUAGGCGACUCCGCAGAUCGCGAUGCUGGGCCUGGACGAUUGAUGCAGGAACCGCCUGCACGGUGGUGUGGAGCAUGCAACCCUCCUAGUAGAGAUGUCCAACGGGCACGGCCGGGUUGGCCCAACGUCGUGUCGUGUCGUGUCGUGCCGUGCUGCAGAUCGUCGGGCCGCUACGGGCCGUGCCUAGCCUUCGGCCCAAGGCAUGGCCCACAUGCCAAAUUUUGUGCCAUGCCGGCCCGUCAAACACGUCGUGUCGUGCUGGUCCACGGCCCAUCAAACCGACAAUAGCUCAUUUUUAUCAAUAUUUUCACCAAAUAUUGAAAUAUUUUAUCAUUUUUAUAAAUAUAAUAAUUAACAGCACAUAUAUACAAGUCAUAACUACACCAAUAGUUUAUGUUUAUCGUGCUCGUGCCGUGCCGCGUGCCUGAGUGGCGACCCAGGCACAGCCUGGUCCCUUGGGUCAGUGGCCACCGUAACGUGUCAUGCUCGGACCGGGUCAAAUCACCUAGCCAUGGGGCGGGCCAUUGGCCCGCGGCCACAUGGCCAUGUAUACCUCCUAGCAGCGCGGUGCGAGGGCCUGGGCAACCCACAUGGCCCCACGUAGCGGGCCAGUGGCACGGACUAUCGGCGUGUUGUGUUCUAGGCUUGCAAGGAUGCCUGAAAUGGACGAAGAAAUUCAAGGAUGACAUGCAAAAAUAAAUAAAUGUGUUGUCAUUCAUGUUAAGGGCAUUGAUGUCUUUUUAGUCUUUACUUAACACCAUUAAAUCUCCUUCACAAAAUAGGGACAGGUGGAAGUUUGGGAUUAAAAACAGAGGUUAAUGUACAAAGUUGACAUGGUGCCUUAUGUCAAUGUGUUUGGUUCUUGAAUAUUGGAAUGGGUUUGUUGUAGUUUUUACCGCACUUUCAUUGUCACAUAGGAGAGAUACUUCAUUAAAUUUGAUUCCAAAGUCCAAUAGUGCUGCCCUCAUCCACAACAAGUGUGUACAAUUACUACCUGUGGAGAUGAUCAAGUUUUGCUUCUUUGAGGUCCAAGAUACUUGUGACCUUCCUAGCAUUUGGUAUGUGUCUGAAAUGCUUUUCCUAUGCACUUUGCAACUGACAUAAUGUUAGCCCGAAUAGCCAACCAACACAGCAAUAUUGGGGGUGAACUUUAAAUAUCUUAAGUUGUAAUCGAAAGGGUUACCACCCAGAGGUACUCCUAAUUGCUAGCAAAAUUAGCCCUAACUUAUCUAAACAUGAGGAAAAUAUAAGAUAUUUGUAGCCAAGCCUUCAAAGCUUCAACUAGUUAUUAGUAAUAUUUAAUCUCGUCCAAAAAGAUCCAUCCAAACGACUAUAGAACUUUGAUUUAUUAGGGGACAAAAUGAGCAGUAGCAGCAAUAAUUGUGGACAUGGGCCACACACACACACACCAUUCCAUUCCUGUACUGCCGUGUCAUCCACAAUCCACCAGAAUCAUGCAUGCAGCUACAGUAGAACAGCAGACUCAAAACGAGGUUAUGUCAGCAAAGUCACUAUUUCGGCGCAGAAAAUCUUCGAGCUCCGGAUGCUCAAAACCGCUCAAAUCUUUCCAGCCCGGCCGCCGCCGACCCGUUCCACGUUCUUGUAGCGACGACGUAGCUGGUCCUGCCGGUGCCGGUGCCCACGCACAGUGAUGACGAGGCCGCUGCGCUGCGCUCGGCCGGCGCGCCCCUCGGCCACUGCUUACCCAGAAAAGGGAAACCCCACGGCGGAGGCGAACGGCGGCACCGCCCCCCCAUCAGUUGCCGGCAGUGGCCCGGCCAAUGGCACAGCGCCACUGUUGCUGGCGCAGGACGACAGGGCUCAGGCUCAGGCUCAGGCUCAGCGGCUGGGCCUGCACGCCGCGCCCAGCUGCCGCAGAGGGAAUCCUGAUGAUGCUGCGGCAGCGCGGCGCUGCAUGCUGGCGUCUUCGUCGUCGUCGUUGCCGGGGCGGGCGCUGGCGCCGUACGCGUACGGCGGCGCCCAGUUAAUGCCGUUGCCGCUGGGGUUGGACCAGCGCGCGCGCGGCCCCCCACCGCCGCUGCCCAUCUGCUCCUGCUGCUCGUCGCCCAGGUGCUGCCGGGUCGCCCGCCAGUGUUUGCAUUCACAGAAAUGGAAACCGAACCAACGAUCGCUGAUUAGUAAGCGCUGAGCUGAUGGAUGCACGGAGGAUCACUGGUGCAUCGUCACGGAUCCAUCAGUGAUGGUACGAGCGGCGUACCAUCUGUAGUUGCAUGCGCAGCUGCGUGUCGUUGUCGUCGUCCCUGCUGCCGAUGCCGGGGUGGGGGUGGUGUUGGACGUGGACGUGGUCGUCAGCCGGGCGCCAGAACAUGCCGGCGGCAGUCGGCGGCGGAGGCCUGGUGAGGAUGCUCCUGUGAGGGUAGCUGGCGCUCGUCUCCUCCGCCGCCGGCAGAUCGAGCUGGGUGUCAGUGUCCCGAUCGAGGAACUUUAGUCACAGCAGUGGACGUUAGCAAAAGGCUCAGCGUCGGCUACGAAUGUAUACAUACCGUCAGGGCCAUCGUCCUCUGCUUGCUGCCCGGCGCGGAGCUGAACGACGCGUCGACGGCGACCGUGGACGGAGGAUCGCUG